rnacentral:rRNA from 1 species
UACAGAGGGGGCAAGCGUUGUUCGGAAUUACUGGGCGUAAAGGGCGCGUAGGCGGCCAUCUAAGUCGGACGUGAAAUCCCCGGGCUCAACCCGGGAACUGCGUCCGAUACUGGAAGGCUUGAAUCCGGGAGAGGGAUGCGGAAUUCCAGGUGUAGCGGUGAAAUGCGUAGAUAUCUGGAGGAACACCGGUGGCGAAGGCGGCAUCCUGGACCGGCAUUGACGCUGAGGCGCGAAAGCCAGGGGAGCAAACGGG